AACGAACGCUGGCGGCAGGCCUAACACAUGCAAGUCGAACGCUGUAGCAAUACAGAGUGGCAGACGGGUGAGUAACGCGUGGGAACAUGCCCUUCGGUUCGGAAUAACUCAGGGAAACUUGAGCUAAUACCGGAUACGCCCUUAGGGGGAAAGAUUUACUGCCGAAGGAUAGGCCCGCGUCCGAUUAGCUAGUUGGUGAGGUAAUGGCUCACCAAGGCGACGAUCGGUAGCUGGUCUGAGAGGAUGAUCAGCCACACUGGGACUGAGACACGGCCCAGACUCCUACGGGAGGCAGCAGUGGGGAAUAUUGGACAAUGGGCGCAAGCCUGACCCAGCCAUGCCGCGUGAGUGAUGAAGGCCCUAGGGUUGUAAAGCUCUUUCGCCAGGGACGAUAAUGACGGUACCUGGAUAAGAAGCCCCGGCUAACUUCGUGCCAGCCGCCGCCGUAA
rnacentral:rRNA from 1 species